CUUGAACUCACUUUGUAGACCAGGCUGGCCUGGAAUUUACAGUGAUCCUCCUGCCUCAGCCUCCUGAGUUCUGGGAU
rnacentral:miRNA from 1 species